CUGAGCCUGGGCAUCCAGAGCUUUUCCUGGGGCUCCCCCACCUAGACCUAGGUGGCCCCCCAGGUAGCUGACCUCAGUCUGCAGCUUCUCUGGAAGCUGAACUAUCAUCAUACGGCCCAAAGCCUCUACCUUAUCUGACAUGGCCCAGGCCCCCAGGUAAGCAGAGACACUCUUAUCAGACAUGACAUUCCAGUGGCCUAGAGGUCACCUCCUAGGAGCCCAAAAAAGAGGCCAGACCUCUCUUUGGAUAAGAUUAACUCUUUACUAAACAAGAGUUUAAACUGUUGGUCUUUUAAACCUAUUCCCAAACAUGGUUCAAUCCACAUUAACAAAUUAUCCUCAUGAUACAAAGCAAGGAAAGAGGAGUUCCUGCUGUGGCUCAGGGGGUUAAGAACUUGACUAGUAUCCAUGAGGAUUCGGGUUCAAUCCCUGGCCUCGCUCAGUGGGUUAAAGGAUCUGGUGUUGCCACAAGCUGUGGUGUAGAUCGCAGACACAGCUCAGAUCCCAAGUUGCUGUGGCUGCGUCGUAGGCCAGCAGCUACAGCUCCAAUUCGACCCUUAGCCGGGAAACUUCCAUAUGCCAUGGGUGUGGCCCUUAAAAAAUAAAAAACAGCAGAAUCUACUUUUGGAGAGUCUCCUUGGGGGGACCUUUUGAUCCACUGAGUAGGUUCUCUCACAGCUGCAGUGAGAGAGGCCACAUCCUGCCCUUUUCCAACUUUUUUCCCUGGAUUUUGGGGGUCCAUGUAGCCUCAAGCCUAGAGCCUUCUGAGGAUUGAUUGCUGCCUCUCUGGUUUAAAUAUGUUGAUUUUCAAAGCAACUGAAAACAUCUUUUAAGUGACAAAAGUAAACUGUGUUUAUGGAUUUAAAAGGUAGAAUUAAUUAAAAAUUAUCAAGGACCUGUUUUGAAAAGUUUUAAAAUAUGUAUUCGAAGACCAUCUUCUCACUAUGAAGUCAUUUUCCUACUAGAUUUAAGAGUACAGAUGUGGGAGUUCCUGUCAUGGCGCAGUGGUUAACGAAUCCGACGAGGAACCAUGAGGUUGCAGGUUCGAUCCCUGGCCUUGCUCAGUGGGUUAAGGAUCCGGUGUUGCUGUGGCUCUGGUGUAGGCCGGCGGCUACAGCCCUGAUUAGACCCCUAGCCUGGGAACCUCCAUAUGCCGCGGGAGCAGCCCUAGAAAAGGCAAAAAGAC
rnacentral:lncRNA from 1 species